rnacentral:ncRNA from 1 species
GGUGCCGAAUCCGGCUUGAAAGGGAACCCUGUGAGAAUCGGGGACGGGCCCGCCGCUGUAAUCGGGGACAAAAUCCGCAAAUCUGCCACUGCUCCUAAGUUGGAACGGGAAGGCGCGGAUGGAGAGUGAUCCGAAAGUCAGAAGACCUGCCUGGGAUAUA